UAGAGUGAACCCAGGCCUUUUUUCCCCAAUAUAUUAAAGAAUCUGUUUCAACAUAAGAAGUCUUCAACAGGGAUCUCCAUCGUGUCUGGUUUUUACUCAAAAAGGAGACAAAUGUUGAGCUGAUAAGUAGAUAAUUCAUUUGCAUGGCUAUUUAAAUAAAAUUAAAAAAAUGUGAAUUAUUGAAAUGGGAAGAAAGGAACUCCUCUGUGAGAUCUACUUGUGUUUCUUGUCACCUAUAAAAAGCACAAAAAGGAGAUAUGUUGCGGCUCCGAUUAAGUUGUAAGAUGUUUUUCGGACAUGUUCUUACAAUAGGCAACAUUUUUAUUCGAGCCGAAAGUGUGUUGCAACUUAUUUUAUGUCUGAAUAGAAUCACAUUUUACAAGAAAGAAUCCUUCCUGGUGUGGUAAUCUAGUUUGGUAGCUAUUCUUUUUUUUGCUGUAGGAAAAUGUAAGAAAGACAGUGGGGAGGCUGCACAUACUGUAAGGCUGACUGAACUAACAAGACAGGGCUAUGGUAUGUUCACGUUCACGCUCAAGUCUAGUGAAAAGGUAAAGCUGUGAAAAUAUUCUAAAUAUAGUGUACACCUAAGGAGAUAUUUUGCAGAUUUCAAACCAGCUCUGUCAUGCCAGUAUGUGCAGAUGAACAACCUCAGUCUGUGACAGUUUUAGUCUCUUGUUAUUUCAUAGACGCAGAGAGAUACUUAUUUUGCAAUGGACUUAGAUGUCAUAAUUGGUGUACAUGGUUAUAAUAUAAUGGCUAUGAACCAAUCAGAUUGCUUCAUUUGAGCUACCCAAUUUAUAAAGUAUAAUACAGUGACUCAAUCUUUUUAUAGAUCAGUAUCCUUCUUAACAUGCCACAUACCUUAUCUGAAAUACCUCAAAAUUUGGAUAUCACUCAAGACUAGGUUUCCAAUUUGUGAAGAAUUUUCUACAUUUAUCCCUCCUUUGGCAUUGCCAACAGUCCUCACCUUGUAAAAGAGCGACAGCUGGCU